UGGAUGAAAGUGGGGGAUCGCAAGACCUCAUGCUCCUGGAGCGGCCGAUAUCUGAUUAGCUAGUUGGUGAGGUAAAGGCUCACCAAGGCGACGAUCAGUAGCUGGUCUGAGAGGACGACCAGCCACACUGGAACUGAGACACGGUCCAGACUCCUACGGGAGGCAGCAGUGGGGAAUUUUGGACAAUGGGCGCAAGCCUGAUCCAGCAAUGCCGCGUGAGUGAAGAAGGCCUUCGGGUUGUAAAGCUCUUUUGUCAGGGAAGAAACGGCUGGGGAUAAUACCUUCGGCUAAUGACGGUACCUGAAGAAUAAGCACCGGCUAACUACGUGCCAGCAGCCGCGGUAAUACGUAGGGUGCAAGCGUUAAUCGGAAUUACUGGGCGUAAAGCGUGCGCAGGCGGUUUUGUAAGUCUGUCGUGAAAGCCCCGGGCUCAACCUGGGAAUUGCGAUGGAGACUGCAAGGCUUGAAUCUGGCAGAGGGGGGUAGAAUUCCACGUGUAGCAGUGAAAUGCGUAGAGAUGUGGAGGAACACCGAUGGCGAAGGCAGCCCCCUGGGUCAAGAUUGACGCUCAUGCACGAAAGCGUGGGGAGCAAACAGGAUUAGAUACCCUGGUAGUCCACGCCCUAAACGAUGUCUACUAGUUGUCGGGUCUUAAUUGACUUGGUAACGCAGCUAACGCGUGAAGUAGACCGCCUGGGGAGUACGGUCGCAAGAUUAAAACUCAAAGGAAUUGACGGGGACCCGCACAAGCGGUGGAUGAUGUGGAUUAAUUCGAUGCAACGCGAAAAACCUUACCUACCCUUGACAUGGAAGGAAUCCCGAAGAGAUUUGGGAGUGCCCGAAAGGGAACCUUCACACAGGUGCUGCAUGGCUGUCGUCAGCUCGUGUCGUGAGAUGUUGGGUUAAGUCCCGCAACGAGCGCAACCCUUGUCAUUAGUUGCUACGAAAGGGCACUCUAAUGAGACUGCCGGUGACAAACCGGAGGAAGGUGGGGAUGACGUCAAGUCCUCAUGGCCCUUAUGGGUAGGGCUUCACACGUCAUACAAUGGUACAUACAGAGGGCCGCCAACCCGCGAGGGGGAGCUAAUCCCAGAAAGUGUAUCGUAGUCCGGAUUGUAGUCUGCAACUCGACUGCAUGAAGUUGGAAUCGCUAGUAAUCGCGGAUCAGCAUGUCGCGGUGAAUACGUUCCCGGGUCUUGUACACACCGCCCGUCACACCAUGGGAGCGGGUUUUACCAGAAGUAGGUAGCUUAACCGUAAG
rnacentral:rRNA from 1 species